UCCCUUCAAAGUUCUUCUAAACAUACGACACCAAAUGUCUCUUCGCCCAGUAGUAUCCUCCAUUUCCAUACGGAACGAGUGGACGUGAUCUUCAGGAUCCGUUGUACCAUCAUAUGAUGUCAUUUUUGGGGCUCUCCACCCUGUCGGAUAACCUUCCACUAAAAGAUGUCGCGCUAAAGCUUCUUCAUUGUCCGCUGGUGUUAGUUGGUCCAGAUAACCAAUUGAUGGCCGUACAGGAACGUUCUCAUGCAUGCUUCUAUUUGCCAUUGACACAAUUUGUUCCUGAAGUUGCCUUUGAUUGUUUUGCAGAUCCGCGAUAAUUGACAUGAGUUGACUCUCUCUUGGUUCCCGCAAUAUGGGAAACGCUCUCCCAUAC
rnacentral:lncRNA from 1 species